rnacentral:lncRNA from 1 species
UUCUGAAAUUCAAGAUACCCCAAGAAAUGAAGCCCACAAAUAAUUAUUCUAGAUUAACAGAAAUGAAUUCCUUCAAUUUAAUAAGAAACACCUACUUCAAAACACAGUGAGUUGAAAGAUACAUGAUCAAAAGUAGUAAAAUAGAAAAAAAUGGGAGCCGCGCAGCUGACCAAUGUAUUAUAACCAAGGUUCUCAAUUCCAUUUCGAUAAGUGUUUUGUUUUUUCAAUUGAAAUGAAAUGUUUUAGUUUUAGAGUAUUACGGUAUGCCGUUUCAGGGUUGUACUGUUUAGUUUAUAUAUAUAUAUAUAUAUAUAUAUAUAUAUAUAUAUAUAUAUAUAAUUCAACAAAUAUAAUUCAAAUUCAAGAUAAAUUAAUUAUAAAUUAUACAAUACAAACACAAUGUCAAAUAAAUAAAAUUUAAAAUAUUUCUAAAUAGUCAAGAUUAAAUAGAUCUUUAACUUAAAAUAAUUCAACUUAAACAAAAUAUCAAAAUAUUAUGAAAGUAAAAUGUUUUAACACAAAUAUUUUAAAUAUAAAGCUAAGUCAAUGUUAUCAAGGCUAAUGAGAUCUAAAGCAUCCCUUGUUUUGCUCAAAUUCCUACAAAGUAUAAACAUGAAAAAAACAACAUGAAUAUAAACCAUGUAUAUUAGUGAUAAAUCUAAUUUUAAAAAAUUAAUAUCAUUGUUAAUGAAAAUAGUAAUAAUAAUUUUCAAUAUUAUUAUUAAUAUUAAAUAGUAAUGAAAAAGAGCUUUUUAUACCUGGACGGUUUAAUUAAUUAAAUUAAACCGGGUUCAAUUUGAUUCAAUGAAUUUUCAAAACCAGAACAGAACAUGUGAAAUGAAACCGGAACAUUCCAGCUGAAAUUUAGUCGAAAAAUCCGGAACAGACCGAGAUUUAAAAUGAAAUGAAAUUAUUUUGUUUUGUUCUGUUUUUUAAAUUGAUAUGAAAUAUUUUGGCUAUUCCAGACAAAACAUAAUAAAAUUGACAACUUUAAUUAAAACAAAGGGACAAAAGCGAAGAAGAAAACAAGGUAGGGGAGAUUUUAGUUACUUGCGAGGGAGAGUUAAGUUAAUAUUUUGGCUAUUCCAGACAAAACAGAAUAAAAUUGACAACUUUAAUUAAAACAAAGGGACAAAAGCGAAGAAGAAAACAAGGUAGGGGAGAUUUUAGUUACUUGCGAGGGAGAGUUAAGUUAAUUACGAGAAAACGUUGACGGAGAAGAUGAACAACAACUUUAGUACUAAAACAAAUCAUUCUUCCCUACAGCUGUAAAGC